rnacentral:rRNA from 1 species
GAUGAACGCUGGCGGCGUGCCUAAUACAUGCAAGUCGAGCGAACAGACGAGGAGCUUGCUCCUCUGACGUUAGCGGUGGACGGGUGAGUAACACGUGGAUAACCUACCUAUAAGACUGGGAUAACUUCGGGAAACCGGCGCUAAUACCGGAUAAUAUAUUGAACCGCAUGGUUCAAUAGUGAAAGACGGUUUUGCUGUCACUUAUAGAUGGAUCCGCGCCGCAUUAGCUAGUUGGUAAGGUAACGGCUUACCAAGGCAACGAUGCGUAGCCGACCUGAGAGGGUGAUCGGCCACACUGGAACUGAGACACGGUCCAGACUCCUACGGGAGGCAGCAGUAGGGAAUCUUCCGCAAUGGGCGAAAGCCUGACGGAGCAACGCCGCGUGAGUGAUGAAGGUCUUCGGAUCGUAAAACUCUGUUAUUAGGGAAGAACAAAUGUGUAAGUAACUAUGCACGUCUUGACGGUACCUAAUCAGAAAGCCACGGCUAACUACGUG